rfam:Schistosoma haematobium scaffold1073_1, whole genome shotgun sequence.
GCACUGCUGAGGAGUCCCAUACUAGGACGAAACAACCGUCCAGUGC